rnacentral:lncRNA from 1 species
AUGGGAAUUCUGCCUCUCCCCUGGGAAUUUCCACCUUUUCCCAUGGGAUUUCUGCUUUUCCCGCGGGAAUUCCGCCUUUUCCUGCAGGAAAUUCAUUUUCCCUCGGGAAUUCUGCCUUUUCCUGUGAAAAUUCCACCUUUUCCUGCGGAAAUUCCUUCGUUUCUUGCGAGAAAUUCAUUUUCCUGGGAGAAUUCUGCCUCUCCCCGCGGGAUUUCCACCUUUUCCCACGGGAAUUCCGCCUCUCCCCAUGGGAUUUCUGCUUUUCUUGCGGGGAAUUCCGCCUUUUCCUGCGGGGAAUUCCUUUUCCCUUGGGAAUUCUGCCUCUCCCUGUGGGAAUUCCGGCUUUUCCCAUGGGAAUUCCGGCUUUUCCCCAUGGGAAUUCCACCCUUCCCCAAAGGAAUUCCAUCUUUUCCUGUGGGUAUUCCGUCUCUUCCCAUGGGAAUUCCUGAAUUCCACCAUUCCUGGCAGGAAAUUCCUUUUCCCAUGGGAAUUCCACCUUUUCCCGUGGGAAUUCCGCCUUUUCCUUCAGGAAACUCCUUUUCCCGCAGGAAUUCCGUCUCUCCCCGCGGGAAUUCCGUCUCUCCCCGCGGGAAUUCCGGCUUUUCCCAUGGGAAUUCCACCCUUCCCCAAAGGAAUUCCAUCUUUUCUCGCAGGAAUUCCGUCUCUCCCCGCGGGAAUUCCGCCUUUUUCUGUGGGAAUUCAACCUUUUCCCGUGGGAAUUCCACCAUUCCCGGCAGGAAAUUCCUUUUCCCUCAGGAAUUCCACCUUUUCCCACGGAAAUUCAACCUUUUCCUGCAGGAAACUCCUUUUCCCGUGGGAAUUCUGCCUCUCCCCGUGGGAAUUCCGGCUCUCCCCUCGGGAAUUCCCCCUCUCCCCACGGGAAUUCCGGCUUUUCCCAUGGGAAUUCCACCCUUCCCCAAAGGAAUUCCAUAUUUUCCUUCAGGAAUUCCGUCUCUCCCCGCGGGAAUUCCGGCUGUCCCCGCGGGAAUUCCGUCUCUCCCCUCGGGAAUUCCGUCUCUCCCCUCGGGAAUUCCGUCUCUCCCCACGGGAAUUCCGGCUGUCCCCUCGGGAAUUCCGGCUGUCCCCGCACCUGGUGGCCCCGGGUUUGAGCCCCAGCGUGUCCCAGCUGUCCUUGCUGCUGCGGAUCCUGCGGAUGGCCUCCGC